GACGAACGCUGGCGGCGUGCUUAACACAUGCAAGUCGAACGGAAAGGCCCUGCUUUUGUGGGGUGCUCGAGUGGCGAACGGGUGAGUAACACGUGAGUAACCUGCCCUUGACUUUGGGAUAACUUCAGGAAACUGGGGCUAAUACCGGAUAGGAGCUCCUGCUGCAUGGUGGGGGUUGGAAAGUUUCGGCGGUUGGGGAUGGACUCGCGGCUUAUCAGCUUGUUGGUGGGGUAGUGGCUUACCAAGGCUUUGACGGGUAGCCGGCCUGAGAGGGUGACCGGCCACAUUGGGACUGAGAUACGGACCAGACGCCUACGGGAGGCAGCAGUGGGGAGUAUUGCACAAUGGGCGGAAGCCUGAUGCAGCAACGCCGCGUGCGGGAUGACGGCCUUCGGGUUGUAAACCGCUUUCGCCUGUGACGAAGCGUGAGUGACGGUAAUGGGUAAAGAAGCACCGGCUAACUACGUG
rnacentral:rRNA from 1 species